UACGAAGGGUGCAAACGUUGCUCGGAAUCAUUGGGCGUAAAGCGCACGUAGGCGGCUUGCCAAGUCGGACGUGAAAUCCCUCAGCUCAACUGAGGACGUGCAUCCGAAACUGGCGAGCUUGAGUACUGAAGAGGAUCGCGGAAUUCCCGGUGUAGAGGUGAAAUUCGUAGAUAUUGGGAAGAACACCGGUGGCGAAGGCGGCUCACUGGCUCGUAACUGACGCUCAUGCACGACAGCGUGGGGAUCAAACAGG
rnacentral:rRNA from 1 species